rnacentral:tRNA from 1 species
GUUGAUAUAGCAGGAGCUGUCGGCGGAUUUUGAUUCCGCCAUUCGGAGGUUCGAUCCCUCCCGCCCCAGCCA